rnacentral:misc_RNA from 1 species
GAUGAAGAACGUAGCGAAAUGCGAUAAGUAAUGUGAAUUGCAGAAUUCAGUGAAUCAUCGAAUCUUUGAAUGCACAUUGCGCCCCCUGGUAUUCCGGGGGGCAUGCCUGUUCGAGCGUCAUUACAACCCUCAAGCUCUGCUUGGUAUUGGGCCCCGCCAGUUCUGGCGGGCCCUAAAGUCAGUGGCGGUGCCUUCCGGCUCCGAGCGUAGUAAUUCUUCUCGCUCUGGAGACCCGGUUGUGUGCUUGCCAACAACCCCCAAUUUUUUAAGGUUGACCUCGGAUCAGGUAGGGAUACCCGCUGAACUUAAGCAUAUCAAUAAGCGGAGGA